CGCUGGCGGCGUGCCUAAUACAUGCAAGUCGAACGCACUCUCGUUUAGAUUGAAGGAGCUUGCUCCUGAUUGAUAAACAUUUGAGUGAGUGGCGACGGGUGAGUAACACGUGGGUAACCUGCCCUAAAGUGGGGGAUAACAUUUGGAAACAGAUGCUAAUACCGCAUAAAACCUAACACCGCAUGGUGUAGGGUUGAAAGAUGGUUUCGGCUAUCACUUUAGGAUGGACCCGCGGUGCAUUAGUUAGUUGGUGAGGUAAAGGCUCACCAAGACCGUGAUGCAUAGCCGACCUGAGAGGGUAAUCGGCCACACUGGGACUGAGACACGGCCCAGACUCCUACGGAGGCAGCAGUAGGGAAUCUUCCACAAUGGACGAAAGUCUGAUGGAGCAACGCCGCGUGAGUGAAGAAGGUUUUCGGAUCGUAAAACUCUGUUGUUGGAGAAGAAUGUAUCUGAUAGUAACUGAUCAGGUAGUGACGGUAUCCAACCAGAAAGCCACGGCUAACUACGUG
rnacentral:rRNA from 1 species